UACGUAGGGGGCUAGCGUUGUCCGGAAUCAUUGGGCGUAAAGCGCGUGUAGGCGGCCCGGUAAGUCCGCUGUGAAAGUCGGGGGCUCAACCCUCGGAUGCCGGUGGAUACUGUCGGGCUCGAGUACGGAAGAGGCGAGUGGAAUUCCUGGUGUAGCGGUGAAAUGCGCAGAUAUCAGGAGGAACGCCUAUUGCGAAGGCAGCUCGCUGGGACGUCACUGACGCUGAGACGCGAAAGCGUGGGGAGCAAACAGG
rnacentral:rRNA from 1 species